rnacentral:tRNA from 1 species
CAUUAGGUGGCUGAGAGUAAGCAACGGAAUUUUAAACCGUAAUAUAGUAGUUAACGCCUACUUCUAAUGA